AUUCUUGGAUUUCGGUCUAAGAAGCAUUUAUUAGAUUCGAGCCAACCUGGUGUCCUUGUGGCAUCAGUGCGGAUGAAUCAUAAUAACUUUGCGAAUCACAGAGCCCCAUUUAUGAGGCGGUGAUGCAUCAUUCGAAUCUCUGCCCUAUCAGCUUUUGAUGGUAGUGUCGUGGACUACCAUGGCGAUAACGGGUAACGGAGAAUUAGGGUUCGAUUCCGGAGAGGGAGCCUGAGAAAUGGCUACCACAUCCAAGGAAGGCAGCAGGCGCGUAAAUUACCCAAUCCUGACUCAGGGAGGUAGUGACCAUAAAUAACGACGCUCGACCUUUGGUCGUGCGAUCGGAAUGCGAGAAGUUUUAAGCCCUUCUCGAAAGCAACUGGAGGGCAAGUCUGGUGCCAGCAGCCGCGGUAAUACCAGCUCCAGUAGCGUAUAUUAAAGUUGUUGCAGUUAAAAAGCUCGUAGUUGGAUGUCGGAAAGGACCUCCUUGGUGUCCGUCACUCCUAUGUGAGUGUUCGUGACCCAGAGUGUUUUACCCUUUCUAUUUUCGACUGGAAUCGGGUAUGUUUUUUGUGCAUUUACUUGCACGAUGUGCCUACACUCCUCACAAGGGAGUGGAACGGUUUCGGUCAUGUUACUGUGAAGAAAUCAGAGUGCUCAAAGCAGGCAUUUGUCCGAAUGGAUUAGCAUGGGAUAACCACCCUUG
rnacentral:rRNA from 1 species